UAGGGAAUCUUCCACAAUGGGCGAAAGCCUGAGGGAGCAACGCCGCGUGUGUGAUGAAGGGUUUCGGCUCGUAAAACACUGUUGUAAGAGAAGAAUGACAUUGAGAGUAACUGUUCAAUGUGUGACGGUAUCUUACCAGAAAGGAACGGCUAAAUACGUGCCAG
rnacentral:rRNA from 1 species